rnacentral:rRNA from 1 species
GGGACACGUGGUAUCCUGUCUGAAUAUGGGGGGACCAUCCUCCAAGGCUAAAUACUCCUGACUGACCGAUAGUGAACCAGUACCGUGAGGGAAAGGCGAAAAGAACCCCGGCGAGGGGAGUGAAAAAGAACCUGAAACCGUGUACGUACAAGCAGUGGGAGCCUCUUAAUGGGGUGACUGCGUACCUUUUGUAUAAUGGGUCAGCGACUUAUAUUCUGUAGCAAGGUUAACCGAAUAGGGGAGCCGAAGGGAAACCGAGUCUUAACUGGGCGUUAAGUUGCAGGGUAUAGACCCGAAACCCGGUGAUCUAGCCAUGGGCAGGUUGAAGGUUGGGUAACACUAACUGGAGGACCGAACCGACUAAUGUUGAAAAAUUAGCGGAUGACUUGUGGCUGGGGGUGAAAGGCCAAUCAAACCGGGAGAUAGCUGGUUCUCCCCGAAAGCUAUUUAGGUAGCGCCUCGUGAAUUCAUCUCCGGGGGUAGAGCACUGUUUCGGCAAGGGGGUCAUCCCGACUUACCAACCCGAUGCAAACUGCGAAUACCGGAGAAUGUUAUCACGGGAGACACACGGCGGGUGCUAACGUCCGUCGUGAAGAGGGAAACAACCCAGACCGCCAGCUAAGGUCCCAAAGUCAUGGUUAAGUGGGAAACGAUGUGGGAAGGCCCAGACAGCCAGGAUGUUGGCUUAGAAGCAGCCAUCAUUUAAAGAAAGCGUAAUAGCUCACUGGUCGAGUCGGCCUGCGCGGAAGAUGUAACGGGGCUAAACCAUGCACCGAAGCUGCGGCAGCGACGCUUAUGCGUUGUUGGGUAGGGGAGCGUUCUGUAAGCCUGUGAAGGUGGCCUGUGAGGGUUGCUGGAGGUAUCAGAAGUGCGAAUGCUGACAUAAGUAACGAUAAAGCGGGUGAAAAGCCCGCUCGCCGGAAGACCAAGGGUUCCUGUCCAACGUUAAUCGGGGCAGGGUGAGUCGACCCCUAAGGCGAGGCCGAAAGGCGUAGUCGAU